UGGGGAAUUUUGGACAAUUGGGCGAAAGCCUGAUCCAGCAAUGCCGCGUGUGUGAAGAAGGCCUUCGGGUUGUAAAGCACUUUUGUCCGGAAAGAAAUCCUUGGCUCUAAUACAGUCGGGGGAUGACGGUACCGGAAGAAUAAGCACCGGCUAACUACGUGCCAGCAGCCGCGGUAAUACGUAGGGUGCAAGCGUUAAUCGGAAUUACUGGGCGUAAAGCGUGCGCAGGCGGUUUGCUAAGACCGAUGUGAAAUCCCCGGGCUCAACCUGGGAACUGCAUUGGUGACUGGCAGGCUAGAGUAUGGCAGAGGGGGGUAGAAUUCCACGUGUAGCAGUGAAAUGCGUAGAGAUGUGGAGGAAUACCGAUGGCGAAGGCAGCCCCCUGGGCCAAUACUGACGCUCAUGCACGAAAGCGUGGGGAGCAAAC
rnacentral:rRNA from 1 species